rnacentral:rRNA from 1 species
GUGGGGAAUAUUGCGCAAUGGGGGAAACCCUGACGCAGCGACGCCGCGUGAGCGAAGAAGGCCUUAGGGUUGUAAAGCUCUGUUUUAAGGGACGAAUGUCGUGGGGAGUAAUAUGCUCUGCGAAUGACGGUACCUUAAGAGGAAGCCCCGGCUAACUACGUGCCAGCAGCCGCGGUAAGACGUAGGGGGCGAGCGUUGUCCGGAAUUACUGGGCGUAAAGAGCACGUAGGCGGGAACUUAAGUCAGGUGUGAAAGACCGGGGCUCAACUCCGUGGUUGCACUUGAAACUGGGUUUCUUGAGGGCAGGAGAGGAAAGCAGAAUUCCUGGUGUAGCGGUGAAAUGCGUAGAAAUCAGGAGGAAUACCAGUGGCGAAGGCGGCUUUCUGGACUGACCCUGACGCUGAGGUGCGAAAGCGUGGGUAGCAAACAGGAUUAGAAACCCUGGUAGUCC